UACGUAGGGUGCGAGCGUUAAUCGGAAUUACUGGGUGUAAAGCGUGCGCAGGCGGUCUUUUAAGCCAGAUGUGAAAUCCCCGGGCUUAACCUGGGAACUGCGUUUGGAACUGGAAGGCUAGAGUACGGCAGAGGGGGGUGGAAUUCCACGUGUAGCAGUGAAAUGCGUAGAGAUGUGGAGGAACACCGAUGGCGAAGGCAGCCCCCUGGGCCUGUACUGACGCUCAUGUAAGAAAGCGUGGGGAGCAAACCGG
rnacentral:rRNA from 1 species